rnacentral:rRNA from 1 species
UACGGAGGGUGCAAGCGUUAUCCGGAUUCACUGGGUUUAAAGGGUGCGUAGGCGGCUAUAUAAGUCAGUGGUGAAAGCCCGCAGCUCAACUGCGGAAUUGCCAUUGAAACUGCAUAGCUUGAAUCUGGUUGAAGUGGGCGGAAUACAUCAUGUAGCGGUGAAAUGCUUAGAUAUGACACAGAACACCGAUUGCGAAGGCAGCUCACUAAGCUGUAACUGACACUGAGGCACGAAAGCGUGGGGAGCAAACAGG